GCGGUCGUCGUCUAGCCUGGAUAGGACGGCAGCCUCCCAAGCUGUUGAUCCCGGGUUCAAAUCCCGGCGGCCGCA
rfam:Acidianus hospitalis W1, complete genome.